GUGACGCCGAAACUACGGAAGAUCCAUCUCUGUAUGAUCGGAGAGCAGCUGGGUCGGAAGGACAAACUAGCCAAUCGAAUUCUACUAAAGCACAAGGCAAAGCUUGCAUGAGCAGCGAGGAGUGCCAAAAAAAUCUGUGCUGCCUGCGACAGCAGUCAUCGAAUACAUGCCAGCCAUUGGCUAAAUUUUUGCAAAAGUGUUCGGUAGAACAGGUCAGAGGUGCCAUUUACUCGGAGCACUGCCCCUGCAAGCCCGGGCAAGCCACGGCGAGUCAAACCUUAGGCAGUGUAUCUCCGAAAGACUUAUGCUUGUUGGACCAAAGAGUGCCCGGAUGGGGAGGAAACAACAAAGCAAAGAUGUUCACUAGGAGGAAAGGCCAGGCCUGUAAGAACACUGAGGAGUGUCAAAUGCAUUUGUGUUGCCUAGUACGCCAAUCGGUGGGUACUUGCCAGCCGCUGGCUAUGUGCGGACAAAAGUGCUCGGAAGAUCAGCUCAGGGGUGGCUGCUAUUAUAUGUACUGCCCCUGCAAAGCCGGAAUAGGGGCUUGUGAGAACGGUACAUGCUUGCGAUGACUUUUCAAAUAUAUGGUCCUUAGGCUGUUCUGUGUUGCGCAGACGAAGAGCAUAAUAGGCAAAUGAGAACAGGGAGACAGCCCCACGCUGAGCACACAAAACAAUUUGUAUCCAGAGAACCACAUGGAAAUAUAUGUCCAGGCAUUGGAUUCCGUCUUUUAU